rnacentral:lncRNA from 7 species
AUAGACCCCUCAGAGCCAAGUAACUGCUGUUGCACAGAGCUGGAGAAGCCACAAUGAUUACCUAAGUAAGUAGUGACUUUUUGGUAUUAAAGAUUGUCUCGGUGCACUGGACAGGAAUCUUCCAUUCACGAUUAAUUUCAAAACAAGAUUUCUCAAAUUAUUUUACCACAUGGAAAUGAACAGGAGAAGCCCUGAACUAGCCUUCUGGGAGCAUGAAACUUGCCUUUUCAUCAUGAGAAAAUCUCAAGGAGCCUGGCAGUAUAUGUGGGUGAUGGAGGCAGAACAAGAGAUGGCAACUUUUUAUAGCAGACUCCAUGAUUGCUUGCUUAGAUCCCAACGUUGUUUGUUCAGACCUGUUUGUCUGUCAUCAGGAGUGAGGAGUGGAACUUCACAUAGAAGGACAUCUGCUCUGGGCAGUGGACCAGCUGACUUACAUUGGAGUACAUGCAUAUCCUCAAGACAAAACAUAAGUCACAGAGCAGUUGCACUGCUUCAGGUGAGACAAGAUCAAGUUCUCCUUUACACUGAUUCAAGAAGCCAUGGAAAAUGUUUAAUGCACUUUGGGAGGAGAUACCCACUUGUAGAAGUUGUCAUGACAGCCAUGUCCCUACCAAAGACAGUAUUUUAUGGUGUAAGGGAAAGUUUAUGGUUUCAUAAGGGAAUUCCUAUGGAAGAUUUUUCAAGGGGGAGAAUUCUAUUGCUACAGUUCAAUAAAUC